rnacentral:rRNA from 1 species
UACGGAGGGGGCUAGCGUUGUUCGGAAUUACUGGGCGUAAAGCGCGCGUAGGCGGACCUGCAAGUCGGGGGUGAAAGCCCGAGGCUCAACCUCGGAACUGCCUUCGAUACUGCGGGUCUCGAGUCCGGGAGAGGUGAGUGGAAUUCCUAGUGUAGAGGUGAAGUUCGUAGAUAUUAGGAAGAACACCAGUGGCGAAGGCGGCUCACUGGCCCGGUACUGACGCUGAGGCGCGAAAGCGUGGGGAGCAAACAGG